CCAGGGCCGCUCCUGUGGCACAUGGAGGUCCCCAGGCUAGGGGCCUAAUUGGAGCUGUAGCCACUGGCCUAUGCCAGAGCCACAGCAACUCGGGAUCCGAGCUGCAUCUGCGACCUAUACCACAGCUCACGGCAACGCCGGAUCCUCAACCCACUGAGCGAGUCCAGGGAUCGAACCCGCAACGGCAACCUCAUGGUUCCUAGUCGAUUUGUUAACCACUGAGCCAUGAUGGGAACUCCUAAUUUCUUUUCUUACAGAAGGAGUAUUUUAAUGUUAGGCAAAUCUUUUUUUUUUUCAGACAAAAGAACUGCCUCACAAAAAUUUUGCAUUAUCCCCGAGCAAACUUAAAGUCUGAUGAUCAACAGCAGCAAAGGCUGGUCUUUAGGAUUUGCCUAAUUGUGACUGAUACUUAUUUCUCUCUUAUUCUACAGUUUUAUUUAUAUUUGUCCCGCUUUAAUUUUCUAUUCCAUUUAAAAUUAUUGUUUUAUUCUUGUUAUAACCUAUGUAGAGUAUUUUUUUUUUUAACCAGAGUAAGACAUAUCAGUAAAGACAAGUAAACAGUAGAGGAUGGAAAUGUUGAAAGGAAGAAAAAAUUAAUAAUGUAAAGAAAAAUAUAUUUGAACAUUAAGAUGGCUAAGUUAAACAUGGGGAAGUUCCUAAUUUCACAGCUAUCAUUGAUUAUAUUAUUACUAUUCAGAUGAAAUAAACCAAUUUGCUUUAAAUCUCUCUCCAAUAUGGGAAUAUAGUUUAGGGCUCCUAAAUAUAUGAAAUCACUUAUUCCUUGAGACAUAGUAUGCUGUUAUACUAAGAAUGAAAAUUAAUUUCAAAGUGAAAUUUCACAACUGCUGAGAAAAAGAAUUUUAUGUAUGAAAGGCUUAUAUUACUGUUGGCUGAUAAGACCCAACAUCCAUGUGGGUCAUCUGCUCUUUUUCUAAAAUGCAGAUGUGAAGCACUGUAAAGCAUAUGGACUUUAAUUGGGUUUGAGCUUUGCCAAGAAAAGUCAGAGAUUUAACAGAUGAGUAGAAGGGGGCACAGAAACAACUCAAGUACUUCCUAGAGGUUUACUUGGGUAGCAUAUAACCUGCUUGGACAACAUUAGACUUUAUUCAGUUAUUCACAAGUGCAGCUGUUUCUGAAAAGACUAUUACUUACAGAGCCACAGUAGCAUUUUACCUCUUAAUGUCCCACAUGCCCUUAGCAAAGUUUUUAAAGAUAAGGCACUUCAAUCAGGAGUCUUUAGACUAGAACACCCCCUAAUAUGGCAGAAAAAAAAUUUAAAGAUGAAAACACUGGUGGAGAAGAGGGAAGUGAACAGCCAGGCCUUAAUGAAAUCAGGAUGAGCUGCUCACCAAAAUAUUAGAUUUGCUGGCCUAUGACUUUGUCCAAAUCCUUUAAAAAUGAUGCCCAUCUCUCUGCUUGCAACAGAGCACACCAGACAUAGUCUCUGAUCUGAGGAAUUACCAUUUUUAUUGAUCAUUAUUUUAUAUAUCUAGUUCAGCAGCUAAAUCAGUUCCUAGCUUUGGUAUAAUUUCAUCUGCUUGUGUCUAAAAUUAAAAUGCAUUUGAAUUAUUCAUCAUUCAUCUCACAAAUAUUUACUCAGGUCUGAUGUGGUCCAAGCAUGGAGGAUCCUAGAAGAAUAUAUCUUUUGUUCCAAAAUGUUCACUCUCAAAAGUCAACACAAAGUGCUAGAGUAAUGACGGGAAUAAGAAAAAGUCUGAUAGAACAGUAAAUCCCUAUGACAAACAUGUAUAUUUGGGGAGCCAUUUGAUUCAUUAAUAUAACGUAAUACAAAUCCUCACAAUCAACUCAGCAUCUGUAUCGUGCCUUCCCUCUAAUAAAAAUGUACUCGUUUUUAUAUUAGAUUUUAAAAAAUGAAUCCUAAUCAACUUAGGGAACUUUUCUGAUUGAAAAGGAGUUAAAGGUAAGUGAAAAACAAUACUGGAAAAUGCAAAGGGAUGUAUGUUUAACCCAAGGUUCAUUUAAGACACUAUUAGUUUCCCUCUCAAUAGCUAUUUCAUAUGGUGGUGGCAAUAUGGUGGAUUUCAGAGAGAUUUUAAUUUCCCUCUGUCCAGAUUCUGGGCACUCAGUGACAUAAAGAAUUUAGAAAAAUGGCUUUAUCUUAUUGGAAAAGCUUUGCCUAUACUAAUGCAGAACCUUAAAACAUAAUGUGCUUCACUGCUUGAAUCCUUUCAAAGAAAUUCCUAAAAUGGCAUGAAAAGAAUCUGUGGUCUUUUUAUAACUCUAUUCACCACAGAGAAGAAUUGUACACAAGGCCAAGCCAUCCUGGUCCCCAAAGGAAAUACAAAGGCAUCUCAUUAAUAAGCACUAUCCUGUACUGGGUCCAGGAUGCCCAGUGUAUGUGUGCCUGGCCUCUCCAUGUAUUUUGUUCUCCAUUUGUCCCCCAGGAUAAAUACUCCAGAGAGAGCUGAAAACAUCAACUGUCUCCUUAAGUGUAGGAUGGCUCUGCGCAGACAAAUUAUUUGGGUAAACAGACCCACUUAGGUAAAGGAGAGAGCUAUGCCUGAAGCAUUAAUUCAAUACCUAGGUAACUGAGUUUACAACAUCUUUAUUAGUUUCCAUUACCUGAACAUCUGAGGCACAUUUUUGUCUUAACACAGCUCCUUGAGCUUUUCACAAUGUCAGUAGUGAAACACCAAAGGUUUUACAUUGGUUUGGGAUUGGUAUAUGCACACUGAGGCAUAUGGAAUGACUGGCCAACAGGGACACGUUAUAGAGCACAGGGAACUCUACCCAAUAGUCUGUGAUAAUCCACAUGGGAAAAGAAUCUGAAAAAAGAAUGGAUGUGUGUACAUGCAUCACUGAAUCACUUUGUUGUACAGCAGAAAUGAUCACAACCUUAUCGAUCAACGAUACUUCAAUACAACUUUAAAAAAUGAAAAAAAGAACAAUUAAUUAUUAUAAAAAGAAAAAAAUUGUCACCACUGUGAAAUUAAAGCUGAUUAGGCCGCGCACAAGGGGUGCCGACAAGGACGCAAAGUUUCUACUCAGCUUCAAAGCAGUUUGUAUUUAGUGAUUUAUUUUUAAACUCUGAAUAAAAUAACAUCACAGUGUGUCAGAGGGUGUCCUUAAUGAAAACUUUCUGAUGAUAUCUUAUCUUCCUCCCUUCCGAUGGCACGUGCACUCUCUCCAGUUAUGGGGUGGCUGAAGUCUAAAAGGAAAGACUUCAGUAUCUACCUCUAUGGUCUACAUAGUCACUAUACAGUUAUCAUGAGAAGAAAAUCCCUCCACUUCGGCUCAAAGAAAUAACCUGAUAUACGUUAUUCAUUGUUGAAAAGGAAAAACUCUAUGUCUGAGAGGAAGGAGAAAUGAUCCCAGGUCUAACUACCAACGUCAAACACACAUCCGUAGUUUGGUUAUCCCGCCUAAAAAUUUACCAGUAUCAACUUAUUUUGCUGGGUGAAUCAUGCAACUAUGAAGGAGUGACAUUUAAAACACAUUGGUAGCUGUGCUGUAACAUGAAUCUUAUAAUAAUGUCACUGCCAAACUAUUAAAUCCCUUUGCUCCUGAUGGCAGUAUGACAUCAGGACACUGCUUGGGCAGCAACUUGUAGGAGAAGUCAGUAAAACUUUUAGCCUAUGGGUCACUGCCUGGAGGAGCAGGCAAGGAGAAGGUAUUGUCAGAUUAGGCUACAGGACCCAUGUGGAAAUGGAAUAAACUUUCCUUGGUAUCUGCAGUCACCUCCUUUGUGCCCUUUCCUCCAUCUGUUCCUGAAACCUAAUGCCACCAUGACUUGAACCUGAACUUGGGUUCUAUAAAACCUGAACUUGGGUUCUUUACUCAACCAAGGUAUCAAUGAUCACCAGUUGUUACCAUUACUGCUACUAUUAUUGAAGAGUUUACGCAGGCAUUGAACCCACAAGUUUCUAUUCAUAACAGUUUCUCUGGCUGUUGGGUGGAGAUAGGAUUGAACAGGGACUAGAAUAGAAAUGAUGCGGUGACAUAGGGACAAUGGUAGAAGACUGAUAAUAUUAGAAAGUGGUGAAUUUAACUUGCACUUGGCAGGGGGUGGCAUUUGACGCAUCUAAUAGCUAAGAAAAAGAUAGUAGAGCAGUGGUUCUCGCCUUGGCUGCACAUCAGAAUCAUCUGAAGAGCUUUCUAAAAUUCUGAAGCCCAGCUCCACUCUCAGUACUGUUGACUUAAUUUUCUAGUGCCAUUUGCAGAGAAAGAAAGCCAAGAUUUAUGUGAAGUCUCUUGAGUUUUUUGAUUUGGCAAUUUUUUUAUAUCACAUGUGUAUUAAUUUGUACAGGCCAAAAAAAAACCCAAAAAGGAAAAAACCAACCCCUGUAAAAUAAAAACCUAAGAUAGCUGUAAUGUGCAGGUGACCAGUUGCAACUUCGACCUUAAAUCAGGGAGGUUAAACUCUAAUUAUGGAUUUCAGACUCUCACAGAAUGUAGGAAUGAAAUUCUCUGGAGACUCUUAGAAACAUAUCCAUUAAUUCCUUGAUACCUCAUUAAUAAGAAAGGUGACCUGGUAAAUUUGGUGCAUUGUAAUUGUGGAUUUAUUUUUUUUCCCUUCUUCCAUCCUCUCCCUCCCCACCUCUUUCUAAGGAAGCAUAACAUUUUUUUUUCAAGGUCAUAGGUUAAGGAGUAAAGCUAGGUUUUAUAUCUGAUUAAGUCUCAAGUCUGUCUGUGCCACUUACCAAAUGUGGUUUUCAGUAGACAUUUUUGAGGGGAGGGGGUGGACAGGGGAGUUGUUACAUAGAGUCUUGCUUUUGAAAAUACAAUUUAUAUAGAUCAGACACUUCUCUAAAUACAUACCAGAAUUUCAACGAGCCUACCAUAUUCCCAAUAAUAUUUCAAAAGUUGAAUACAACAAAGCAAUGAGUCAAAUAAUAAAGUAUCCCUUAGUGAUAACACACCCAUCCCCCCCCACACCCACAACCACACACACAGCACUCAUCAAAGAGUCUGAACUGAGUUAAAUCAGGAGCUACAUGACUUAUAUCUUAUGAGAAUCUAAUUUCAGAAUAUUUCCUUCAAGAGAAUUCAUUAAUAAAACUGUCAAAUACUGUAUUUUUUUAUGUCAUAUGAUACACCAAGGGAGUACUUAUCCUACAACCUAAGAGAUCAAAGAAUCAUUAAUUAAUUCCCAUGUGCAGUCAUUUCAUAAUUUGGUACUCAGUUUUUCCUAAGCCUGGAUUAAUUUUGGAAAAAAAAAAAAAGAAGUUUCUAUCUUCCUGUUAGACUUUUGAGCCACAGAUGCCGUUCUUAUAAACACGCCAGGGAAUCAUCAUAUUUUACACACUUGAGUUUCACAGAGUUGUAGAUUAAAUCUUAUUAUUUUCAGAACCAUACGAGCAUGGGAUUUCCCUUCUCUCCUGGAAUGAAUGCUCUUAAUAUGUAUUUAUCACAUUACAAAGAAAAUGAAGGAGUCUUGUAGAUCAUACUGUAAACACAUAGUCACCUUCGACACAUGAAUUUUACUCUUCAGAACAAACUCCACUCUAAGUUAACAACAAGAAAAGCAGAAGUGGAUACACAUCCACAGAUAUGACUCAAAGAGAUGAAGCAUAUGCUGGAGGUUUUACAUACCUA
rnacentral:lncRNA from 1 species